rnacentral:lncRNA from 1 species
UCUUAAUAAGCAGCGGUAAAAGGCAAGAGAGGAUGAGGCAGAUGCCAAGAAUAAGUAAGAACCCACCAAUGAGGGUUUUGAAUUUUCCAAAAGUUGAGAACCAUCCUCCAAACAAGGAAUCCGGGGACCACCCGGACCAUGUCUGAACUUGAACAUGGGCCAGCUUGCGCAUUUCAGCUGUGAUUUCCAUGACAGCUCGGCCAUUAUUAUCGAUUUCUAGGCAAAGGAGACAGCAAGAAGGCAGCCUUUGGAAAGCCAGGAGGAGGGCCCUCACCAGGAACCAAAUCAGUCAGCACCUUGAUCUUGGACUUCCCAGCCUUCAGACUAUGAAAAAUAAAUUUCUGUUUAAGCCACCUAGUCUGUAGUAUUUUAGUACAGCAGCCUGAACUGACUAAUACAGUAUUUGUGAGGGCUCUGAUUUUUUCUAAGUGUUGGCAAGGAUGUGGAGCAAUUGGAAUCCUCAGACGCUGCUGGUGGAGAUGGGGAAUCGUGUGCCUGCUAUGGAAAACAGCGCGGUGGCUCCUCAAAAGUUAAACAUUGAAUUGCCAUGUGACCUAGCAAUUGUGUUCCCAGGUAUAUACCCAAAAGAAUUGAAAAUAAGCAUUCAAACAAAUACUUGUACACAAAUGUUUACAGCAGUGCCAUUCACAAUGG